GAUGAACGCUGGCGGCGUGCCUAAUACAUGCAAGUCGAGCGAACAGACGAGGAGCUUGCUCCUCUGACGUUAGCGGCGGACGGGUGAGUAACACGUGGAUAACCUACCUAUAAGACUGGGAUAACUUCGGGAAACCGGAGCUAAUACCGGAUAAUAUAUUGAACCGCAUGGUUCAAUAGUGAAAGACGGUUUUGCUGUCACUUAAAGAUGGAUCCGCGCCGCAUUAGCUAGUUGGUAAGGUAACGGCUUACCAAGGCGACGAUGCGUAGCCGACCUGAGAGGGUGAUCGGCCACACUGGAACUGAGACACGGUCCAGACUCCUACGGGAGGCAGCAGUAGGGAAUCUUCCGCAAAGGGCGAAAGCCUGACGGAGCAACGCCGCGUGAGUGAUGAAGGUCUUCGGAUCGUAAAACUCUGUUAUUAGGGAAGAACAAAUGUGUAAGUAACUAUGCACGUCUUGACGGUACCUAAUCAGAAAGCCACGGCUAACUACGUG
rnacentral:rRNA from 1 species